UCCGUAGGUGAACCUGCGGAAGGAUCAUUAUCGAGUUUGCGCGGUUGCUGCUGGUUCUCACAAGUGCACGCCGCGUCUUUCUUAAUCCACCCCACCGUGCACUUCGGCGCGUCUUAGGACGCGGUCCAUUUACACCAUACCUUUUUGUAAUCGAGCGAACGUCUUGUAAUAAAAUAACGUACAACUAUCAACAACGGAUCUCUUGGCAUCCCACUCGAUGAAGAACGCAGCGAAUUGCGAUAAGUAAUGUGAAUUGCAGAAUUCAGUGAAUCAUCGAAUCUUUGAACGCACCUUGCACCUUUUGGUAUUCCGAAAGGUAUGCCCGGUUGAGUAUUAUGAACAUCUCAAUCCUCUGGCUUCUGAUCGCAAAGGUUGUGCAUUUGGCGAAGUCGUCUGUCGGGACGACGGUAGCUGAAGUGCGACUUGGAAGCCUGUUGGACUUGGACUUGAGCGACACGUCGGUCCUCCACGAUCGACCCGCUUGAAAUGUAUUAGCUGGCGACCCGCCUUACGGUUCCACUCGGCGUAGUAAGUUCUAUUCGUCGAGGACGCCUCUUUCGAGGUGGCCGAAAGCGCGCGUUUGAAGCCGCUUCCAGUCGUCUUUGGACGCUUUGAAUCUUUAAUCUCAACUCGGGUAGGACUACCCGCUGAACUUAAGCAUAUCAAUAAGCGGAGGA
rnacentral:rRNA from 1 species